UUAUGGCACUUGGACGCCUUUCGUCGUUCCUUUCGUACCCUCAAUCAUCACAUUUGUUGCGGCCAAGAUUGUAUAUUCUGCGCAUUGAAGGUAAACUUUUCCAUCAACUACAAACCAACUCU